rnacentral:rRNA from 1 species
UAGGGAAUCUUCCGCAAUGGGCGAAAGCCUGACGGAGCAACGCCGCGUGAGUGAUGAAGGUCUUCGGAUCGUAAAACUCUGUUAUUAGGGAAGAACAAUUGUGUAAUUAACUAUGCACGCCUUGACGGAACCUAAUCAGAAAGCCACGGUUAACUACGUGCCAGCAGCCGCGGUAAUACGUAGGUGGCAAGCGUUAUCCGGAAUUAUUGGGCGUAAAGCGCGCGUAGGCGGUUUUUUAAGUCUGAUGUGAAAGCCCACGGCUCAACCGUGGAGGGUCAUUGGAAACUGGAAAACUUGAGUGCAGAAGAGGAAAGUGGAAUUCCAUGUGUAGCGGUGAAAUGCGCAGAGAUAUGGAGGAACACCAGUGGCGAAGGCGACUUUCUGGUCUGUAACUGACGCUGAUGUGCGAAAGCGUGGGGAUCAAACAGG